AACCACGACUCUCGACAAUGGAUAUCUCGGCUCUCGUUUCGAUGAAGAACGUAGCGAAAUGCGAUACUUUGUGUGAAUUGCAGAAUCCCGUGAAUCAUCGAAUCUUUGAACGCAAGUUGCGCCCGAGGCCCUAGGUCGAGGGCACGUCUGGCUGGGUGUGGUGAUG
rnacentral:rRNA from 1 species